rnacentral:rRNA from 1 species
GACGAACGCUGGCGGCGUGCCUAAUACAUGCAAGUUGAGCGAUGAAGGUUGGUGCUUGCACCAAUUUGAAGAGCAGCGAACGGGUGAGUAACGCGUGGGGAAUCUGCCUUUGAGCGGGGGACAACAUUUGGAAACGAAUGCUAAUACCGCAUAACAACUUUAAACAUAAGUUUUAAGUUUGAAAGAUGCAAUUGCAUCACUCAAAGAUGAUCCCGCGUUGUAUUAGCUAGUUGGUGAGGUAAAGGCUCACCAAGGCGAUGAUACAUAGCCGACCUGAGAGGGUGAUCGGCCACAUUGGGACUGAGACACGGCCCAAACUCCUACGGGAGGCAGCAGUAGGGAAUCUUCGGCAAUGGACGAGAGUCUGACCGAGCAACGCCGCGUGAGUGAAGAAGGUUUUCGGAUCGUAAAACUCUGUUGGUAGAGAAGAACGUUGGUGAGAGUGGAAAGCUCAUCAAGUGACGGUAACUACCCAGAAAGGGACGGCUAACUACGUG